CAGCAAGUAUUUUAAUAAAAAUAUUAAUUUUGGAGAUUAAAGAUGGGAUUUAUUUCUCCUUGCUGA
rnacentral:tRNA from 1 species